rnacentral:rRNA from 1 species
GAUGAACGCUGGCGGCGUGCUUAACACAUGCAAGUCGAGCGAGUGAGUUCUUCGGAACGAUCUAGCGGCGGACGGGUGAGUAACACGUGGGCAACCUGCCUCAUAGAGGGGAAUAGCCUCCCGAAAGGGAGAUUAAUACCGCAUAAAAUUAUCGAGUGGCAUCACAUGAUAAUCAAAGGAGUAAUCCGCUAUGAGAUGGGCCCGCGGCGCAUUAGCUAGUUGGUGAGGUAACGGCUCACCAAGGCGACGACGCGUAGCCGACCUGAGAGGGUGAUCGGCCACCGUGGGACUUAGACACGGCCCAGACUCCUACGGGAGGCAGCAGUGGGGAAUAUUGCACAAUGGGGGAAACCCUGAUGCAGCAACGCCGCGUGAGUGAUGAAGGUCUUCGGAUUGUAAAGCUCUGUCUUUGGGGACGAUAAUGACGGUACCCAAGGAGGAAGCCACGGCUAACUACGUGCCAGCCGCCGCUGUAA